CGUGCGGGGCGCGCAUAAACAGGCGGGUGUGUGCGGCACAGGUACGUUCGUACGAUUUGAUUUGUAUAUAAUGGAGCGUGUCAAGCUUCUCGAGGUAACUGCAGUGCAGAAGUAAUGACUUUAUUACCUCUGAAACGUUGUGCAGUUCGCAUUUAACAGUGCUCUGAAUAAUUACAAGUCAUUACGCAACCGUGCGCCCUCCGAAGCCCACGUACGGUGGGAUGCCUGGCCGGGGCCAGUUCUGAUAAAUAACACGCAGCGUCCCAUCGGUUCUCUGUAAAAGCUCCUAGCGAAUUAAUCACUUAGUUACACCUCAGCCUGCCGGCUCGCUGCACCGCGGCUGAGAUUCCAGCGGUGACUGCCCCGGCCGCACCGUGAGACGUACUCGACAGCUGAUUGUGCGGAUGCUCUCGGGAACGGCUGCGAGCGAGUCCCGCCGGCAGCGUGCCCUCAGUGCCGGCAUGGAGCAACAGCUCGGGCGAAGCGGAGCCGUACCUCAGCGGGGCGCUCCGGGCCGGGCGCUGCUGUCGGCGCUGAUCACAAUAACGCGCUCUGCCCGCCGCCCCCCGCGCCGCUCUGUCAUGUGACGAGAGGGCGACAACAGACCGGGAAACGAGGCGUCGGGAGGCGUUCUCAGAGCGCCGUAUCCACGGGCUUUAUUAAAGCAGGUGGGUUUUUAUUUUGCUGCGCUUUAGUGGAAGGAAGGAGGCUGUUUAACGAGCAGCCGUGGACACGAAUAACUGUAUUUACAAGCCCUGACGCGGCUUUUGCCAGGCGGUAAAUCCUGAGCCGCGACCAUUAUUCGCCGUAGCCCGGGGCGCGCAGCCCGGUCCGUGCCCCAUAACGAUGCAGCGCGGCUCUCCUCGAGCCCUUCGGUGUACUCCGGUGUCAGCUCGCGGCCAGCAGUGUUUUGAAUGGGGGACUUUUCUCUGCGCUUCCUGAGAUCCAUGUGUGGACAUAUGCAGACCGAGACCAUGUAGAAGAAGUGUGACAGUCUAUCUCAGAAUAUGUGAGAUAAGCAGAAUAGAAAUGCCUCAGACAGAAGGGAGCUAAAGCACAUCCAUCGUGUCUGCUGUGUCCCUCAGUCCCAUGGUGACCCGCUGUCAGAGCUGCUCACACCACGCUGCUGGGAAAGGUGGGUGUUUCCUGAUCCAGCCGCCUGAAGCAGUUCUGGUGCACUACAGGAAAAAAUAUGUCAUGGCAUUGGUCACUUGGUUUUCCUUGUUAACAGUUUUUUGGGACUUAACAUUUCUGGGGACAUUUUCUUUCCCCAAAAUGUGUGGAAGUGAGUCCCAUGUGCACCUUAGCAUCAGAACAGGCAUCAUCAUGAGUGCACUUUGAAAGGCAUCAGCUGCUUGACUUCGAGCACUGGCCUUAAGUAUGGCUUUGUGUACAAAGAAUUUUACUUAAAAAUACUCUCAGUGAUACUUUCUGCUUGUUCCAAACCUCUGUGGCUCAGAGACACUUUUUGUCACUUGAGAUCACUCUAAGGCAGAGCAUGCACAUCUGGGGAAGAGUGCAAACUUGGAAUUUUCUUUGACCCUAGCAGAAAAUACUGGCAAGCCCAAGGCCAGCAAGAUGAGCUACAGACCAUGGACAGGUUGCUCUAGUGGAGCCAGACCCCAAAACAUUUCUCUGCCAACCUUGUAAAUGUUUGCAAAGCAUGAACACUAUCUUUUGAGACACCGAGUCAUCCGUCUACCUGAGCAGGUCAUUCUUUGAGCUUAUGUUAUUGACCCAAGUGACUUUCUAAUUGGUUUCCUGACUUUAGCUGCUAGGAUUGGGGAGAUCUCUAGCUAGCCCAAGGCCAGGAAUUAUGGCCAGCUCAAGCCACAGGCAGGCAGGCAUAACCUGGUGGCCCAGCAGACAUUGAGCUCAGGGAGGAUGAGCAUGCUGCGUGGGUGAAAAAGGGUGAGACAAGCAGCCAGCAAACUCCUGGUAAGGCUCAAGACAAGAGGAAGCUGAGUCUGGCUCUUUGCAGCUGUGCUGUGGGGCUUGACCUGCAACUUUAAGAAAGGACAGCAGUCACCAGUGCCUGGCAUCAAGGCAUGCCAGCAUGAAAUUUGUUUCCUGGUUCCAGUUCACUGCAGCUGGAGUUAUUUCCCUGCUAUCUGACAGGCACUGGUGCCAGCAGCCACUGUUCUGUAUGUGUGUAUCACUCCCACAAGUGAGCAGGAGUGCACCCCGAAGUUUAAAAGCAGUGGCACACAAUCACUGCAAAGUGUCUUCCAACUGGCAAGAUAGGAAGAGCUGGUCUACUCCUGGCCAAAUGACACAUGUGGGGCAGCACCAGUCUUUUCAAACUGUAGUUGUUUAAGAUCAGCCUUCCCUCAGGAUCAUCAUGAUAAGCUUUUCAUGCUUCCCUGAAAGAACAGACCAAGGGGUGGUGAGAGCUUGGGCUAACAGGAAAUUCAGAAAGCUCCACUCUAGGUGCAGCGGGAAGGAGGAUGGAAUUGCAAAUGUUUUGUCUUGGAAAAUAAAUCCAACUACAUUUCCAUCAAAUUAAAUAAGAAUUCCAGGAUAACAAAACUAAUUCAUGACCAAGUCACCCAAUACAAGUGUCAGUGAUUAAAAAAAAAGAGAGAGAGAAAGAAAAAAAAAUUCCAUUGAGGAAUUAGUUUUGCUACAGGAGAUGUGGAAAGAUUCAGUCCGUUUGCACACUCCCCAGCAUAUCUGGCUUGACUGACAGCAGGGAUGCAGAGUACAGUGGAAAGGAUUCUCUCCUCUAACGCUGCUCAGUGCAUCCCAUGCCUGAGGAAUCUGCUUGGACUUGGGCACCAAAAAACCCGUAAGCAUAUCUGACACAUCAGCUGUACUCCGAGUCUGCAGUAAGCAUGAGGCCAAGUAUUCUGUUAAGAUGGUGUCUUUCGGAAAUAAACUCUAUUAGGUAGGUUUUUAGUUACUAACAAUGCAUUUAGCUGAAAUUUCACAUCAUCAUUCUCGAUAUUAAUUUUGUAUUACUGUUGUAGAUUACAUUUAAUUUUAUCCUUUAGGUUCAGCAAAGAAGAAAUACACGUGCUGUCUAGAACGUGGGGCCAUUUGUGUGAGGCUCCAUCUAGAUGGAAAACAAAGAACUGUUGAGAUAGCAGAGAUCUUCUGCAUUUAAAAACAAGAACGGCUUUGCUGUGGGGUUUUUUCUUUGCCAUAUUCAUCCUGUGCAACUCCGUGUGCAAAAUUUCGACUUAAUUGAAAUAUUUUAAUGCAACUCUCUGUAGUCAAAUUGAUAUAGUGUUAUACAGCCCAAAGCUGCACAGAAAGAUGCCGUGCUGAGGCAUAGCGAGAGUGAUGGUGAAUAAAGCAUGAUACAAGCACACUUCUUUCAGCAGUUUGGAUACUUUCGCCACCAUUUGUUAUUGUCAGCACAUAUAAUUUUUACAGUACGGUAUGAAUUCUGACUGCAGCGAGAAGAAUGCCUUCCACUGCCAGUAUGAAUAAGAUUUCACUCAAUUAGAAUAACGUGCAAGCGUAUCGUAUAGUAUUAGCACAGAAAGCUGAUGUGCAUUAAGUCUGAAUGCUGGGAGUUAUUGUGCUAAUGCUAUUGUUUGGUGAGCAACUAUUUCCCGGCAGUGAAAAAAAAAAGAAAAAAAAAAAAAAAGCAAGGGAAAUUAAAUACAUAAAUCAAAAAUAUGCGCAAUGUUUGAUAUUACCAUACUGAAAUUAAUGUAUUCAUAAUUUAAACUUUACCUUGCUCUAUUGUAUUAAGUUUCUGCAUACCUAUAGAGAAACAAAUGUAAACACAAAGAGAGCGACCCAAAGCCUGUGUGCUGAAACAAGUCUCUCAUUGCAGUGCUUGUUGCUGUGGGUAAAUGCAAGGGAAAUGCAGGCUGCGUCGCGUUGCCAGGCGUACAGGCUGUUUGCUACCUGUGUCAGUGAGAAGUUGGGUCUGAACGCUGCAGUAGAGACGCAUCUGCUGCGACCACGCUCUCCUGGACACCCCAACAACGUCGUGCACUGCAAUCGCACUCACUUUUACACCCCAGCAACGUGGGGCACCGUGUUCCCACACAGCGAUGUGUUCGGGGGAUGAGGAGCUGCGCAGCUCCUGGCACUGCACUUCUGCUGCCCAGAGCUGAAGGUGUGCGAUGCAUAGGAUGGGCACACAGCUGCCACCGCUCCUGCGAGAAAGGUCAAAAGUGCCUGGGAGCCGAGGUGUGCCUGAAACAGCCGUUGUACUUAGAGCCAGUAAACACGAAACUCUUCUCUAUUGAGACCCAAUUAGCUUUUCUAUUCAAAGCCGUGCUGCACUUCUGCACGUUGCUUACGAGUGGGACUGAAAAACACACGCACCAUGACACUACACUUUUAAAGUGUUUAUUGACUGCCUUUCCCGUUCUCCCAGGAUUGCCUCCUGCUUAGAUGUGAGUUUUCGGUGAAUAUGACCUGACUAAUUGUUUUCCCCUGCCAUGAUCACUGCGUUUCUCAAGCAGUUUGCACCUACUCACGGACCUCACAUCUUCAGCCUUGGAUCUUAAAGAAACUGAUAACUGCGCUUCCAGAAAACUGCUCGGUAAAUACAUUUCCUGCCCCGGGCUUUACAAGGACCGCUCUGGUCUCAGAUCCACCGUUGAAGUAAUCAGGGAGAACGGCGGGAGGCUCCAUAAAUAUGCAAAUUGUCUCCAGAUAACUGGUUUCGCUGGUUCCGCCUUGGGACUCCCGCCGGGCGGCUCCGCGGGGAGAUCCGUCGCCCCCGGCCCCGCCCCCCACGCUCCGAGCGCUCCUUCCCCUCUCCUUCCCCUCUCCUCUC